ACUCAAAGGAAUUGACGGGGGCCCGCACAAGCAGUGGAGUAUGUGGUUUAAUUCGAAGCAACGCGAAGAACCUUACCAGGGCUUGACAUCCCUCUGACUGGCUUAGAGAUAAGCCUUUUCUUCGGAACAGAGGUGACAGGUGGUGCAUGGUUGUCGUCAGCUCGUGUCGUGAGAUGUUGGGUUAAGUCCCGCAACGAGCGCAACCCCUGUUGUUAGUUGCCAUCAUUAAGUUGGGCACUCUAACGAGACUGCCGGUGACAAAUCGGAGGAAGGUGGGGACGACGUCAAAUCAUCAUGCCCCUUAUGUCCUGGGCUACACACGUACUACAAUGGCGACUACAGAGGGCAGCAACAUCGCGAGGUAGAGCAAAUCCCCAAAAGUCGCCCCAGUUCGGAUUGCAGGCUGAAACUCGCCUGCAUGAAGUCGGAAUUGCUAGUAAUGGCAGGUCAGCAUACUGCCGUGAAUACGUUCCCGGGCCUUGUACACACCGCCCGU
rnacentral:rRNA from 1 species